rfam:Pseudoalteromonas sp. A601 contig74, whole genome shotgun sequence.
AACCGUGUACGUACAAGCAGUAGGAGCAGACUUGUUCUGUGACUGCGUACCUUUUGUAUAAUGGGUCAGCGACUUAUAUUUUGUAGCGAGGUUAACCGAUUAGGGUAGCCGUAGGGAAACCGAGUCUUAACUGGGCGAAUAGUUGCAAGGUAUAGACCCGAAACCCGGUGAUCUAGCCAUGAGCAGGUUGAAGGUUGAGUAACAUCAACUGGAGGACCGAACCCACUAACGUUGAAAAGUUAGGGGAUGACUUGUGGCUUGGAGUGAAAGGCUAAUCAAACCGGGAGAUAGCUGGUUCUCCCCGAAAUCUAUUUAGGUAGAGCCUCGGACGAAUACUUACGGGGGUAGAGCACUGUUAAGGCUAGGGGGUCAUCCCGACUUACCAACCCUUUGCAAACUCCGAAUACCGUAAAGUACUAUCCGGGAGACACACGGCGGGUGCUAACGUCCGUCGUGAAGAGGGAAACAACCCAGACCGCCAGCUAAGGUCCCAAAGUCAUAGUUAAGUGGGAAACGAUGUGGAAAGGCCCAGACAGCCAGGAGGUUGGCUUAGAAGCAGCCAUCCUUUAAAGAAAGCGUAAUAGCUCACUGGUCGAGUCGGUCUGCGCGGAAGAUGUAACGGGGCUAAACUAUGCACCGAAGCUGCGGAUUCAAAAUUUAUUUUGAGUGGUAGGGGAGCGUUCUGUAAGCGGUUGAAGGUGUACCGGGAGGUAUGCUGGACGUAUCAGAAGUGCGAAUGCUGACAUGAGUAACGAUAAUGCGGGUGAAAAACCCGCACGCCGGAAGACCAAGGGUUCCUAUCCCAUGUUAAUCAGGGUAGGGUAAGUCGACCCCUAAGGCGAGGCCGAAAGGCGUAGUCGAUGGGAAACGGAUUAAUAUUUCCGUACUUGGUAUAAUUGCGAUGGGGGGACGGAGCAGGCUAAGCAAGCAUGGCGAUGGUUGUCCAUGUGAAAGUGAGUAGGUUGGUGACUUAGGAAAAUCCGGGUUGCUAAGACUGAGACACGAGACGAGCACCUAAGGGUGUGAAGUUGCUGAUGCCAUACUUCCAGGAAAAGCCUCUAAGCUUCAGAUUAUACCGAAUCGUACCCCAAACCGACACAGGUGGUCAGGUAGAGAAUACUAAGGCGCUUGAGAGAACUCGGGUGAAGGAACUAGGCAAAAUCGUACCGUAACUUCGGGAGAAGGUACGCUCCUAUCUGUGAUGAGAUUUACUCUCUAAGCGGACGGGAGCCGCAGUGACCAGGUGGCUGGGACUGUUUAUUAAAAACACAGCACUGUGCAAAAUCGCAAGAUGACGUAUACGGUGUGACACCUGCCCGGUGCCGGAAGGUUAAUUGAUGGGGUUAGUUUUCGGACGAAGCUCUUGAUCGAAGCCCCGGUAAACGGCGGCCGUAACUAUAACGGUCCUAAGGUAGCGAAAUUCCUUGUCGGGUAAGUUCCGACCUGCACGAAUGGUGUAACCAUGGCCACGCUGUCUCCACCCGAGACUCAGUGAAAUUGAAAUCGCAGUGAAGAUGCUGUGUACCCGCGGCUAGACGGAAAGACCCCGUGAACCUUUACUACAGCUUGGCACUGAACAUUGAACCUACAUGUGUAGGAUAGGUGGGAGACUUAGAAGA